rnacentral:RNase_P_RNA from 1 species
UUGGCUGGAAGCUGACUGAGAGGAACCACCAAAAGGUGCUUUGGUCGCCUGCACAAAGUUCCUGGGAAGGUCUGAGAAAUGGCCCCAAUCCCUUCGGGGGUUGCAUUCCCUAGCCGGGAAACUCUCGAGUGAGGGUGGCGUUGUACCAGAAAAGGUCGGGUUGACCGUGUGGGCACGGGACAACGGGACAAGACGCCGUGCGGCGGAUCCCGUCCCGCGUCCGCGUUGGGAGACAGUGCCGGUGCCAGCAAUGCAAUUGAGUGCGAUAGUGAAAGCCAAACACAAUUCAGACUACUCUUCGGCCAA